ensembl:snRNA U6 U6 spliceosomal RNA
GUACUCACUUUGGUAGCACAUAUACUAAAAUUGGAACAAUACAGAGAAUACUAGUAUGGACCCUGCACAAGGAUGACACACAAUUUGUGAAAUGCUCCACAUGCUUUU